GAUGAACGCUGGCGGCGUGCCUAAUACAUGCAAGUCGAGCGAACGGACGAGAAGCUUGCUUCUCUGAUGUUAGCGGCGGACGGGUGAGUAACACGUGGAUAACCUACCUAUAAGACUGGGAUAACUUCGGGAAACCGGAGCUAAUACCGGAUGAUAUUUUGAACCGCAUGGUUCAAAAGUGAAAGACGGUCUUGCUGUCACUUAUAGAUGGAUCCGCGCUGCAUUAGCUAGUUGGUAAGGUAACGGCUUACCAAGGCAACGAUGCAUAGCCGACCUGAGAGGGUGAUCGGCCACACUGGAACUGAGACACGGUCCAGACUCCUACGGGAGGCAGCAGUAGGGAAUCUUCCGCAAUGGGCGAAAGCCUGACGGAGCAACGCCGCGUGAGUGAUGAAGGUCUUCGGAUCGUAAAACUCUGUUAUUAGGGAAGAACAUAUGUGUAAGUAACUGUGCACAUCUUGACGGUACCUAAUCAGAAAGCCACGGCUAACUACGUGCCAGCAGCCGCGGUAAUACGUAGGUGGCAAGCGUUAUCCGGAAUUAUUGGGCGUAAAGCGCGCGUAGGCGGUUUUUUAAGUCUGAUGUGAAAGCCCACGGCUCAACCGUGGAGGGUCAUUGGAAACUGGAAAACUUGAGUGCAGAAGAGGAAAGUGGAAUUCCAUGUGUAGCGGUGAAAUGCGCAGAGAUAUGGAGGAACACCAGUGGCGAAGGCGACUUUCUGGUCUGUAACUGACGCUGAUGUGCGAAAGCGUGGGGAUCAAACAGGAUUAGAUACCCUGGUAGUCCACGCCGUAAACGAUGAGUGCUAAGUGUUAGGGGGUUUCCGCCCCUUAGUGCUGCAGCUAACGCAUUAAGCACUCCGCCUGGGGAGUACGACCGCAAGGUUGAAACUCAAAGGAAUUGACGGGGACCCGCACAAGCGGUGGAGCAUGUGGUUUAAUUCGAAGCAACGCGAAGAACCUUACCAAAUCUUGACAUCCUUUGACAACUCUAGAGAUAGAGCCUUCCCCUUCGGGGGACAAAGUGACAGGUGGUGCAUGGUUGUCGUCAGCUCGUGUCGUGAGAUGUUGGGUUAAGUCCCGCAACGAGCGCAACCCUUAAGCUUAGUUGCCAUCAUUAAGUUGGGCACUCUAAGUUGACUGCCGGUGACAAACCGGAGGAAGGUGGGGAUGACGUCAAAUCAUCAUGCCCCUUAUGAUUUGGGCUACACACGUGCUACAAUGGACAAUACAAAGGGCAGCGAAACCGCGAGGUCAAGCAAAUCUCAUAAAGUUGUUCUCAGUUCGGAUUGUAGUCUGCAACUCGACUACAUGAAGCUGGAAUCGCUAGUAAUCGUAGAUCAGCAUGCUACGGUGAAUACGUUCCCGGGUCU
rnacentral:rRNA from 1 species